rnacentral:lncRNA from 1 species
UGUGUACUGUUGUUGUGGUCUUAAGAUGGGUUGUUUUGUUAUGACGUAUUGUUCAAUAUUGAAUAUCCCGUUAGAUCUUUCUUCUUCACAACUUUCUUUUGUUUGCAUAGUAUAAUUUUACCCUGGUGGGGUUCGUGUUGCUCAGUCUAGUUUUCUAUGUUGUGUUUUGUAUACUGUUGUUGUCUGAAGAUGUUGUUUUUUUUUGUCACAUCGUUUGUUUGUCAUGGACUUAUGCACGACUUUGAAUAUCCCUUUGGGAUUUUCCGCUUAUCUUUUUUCUUCAUUAUUUUGAAUAUGGUAUACUACUCUGGUGCAUCCUCUGUUGCGCUUCCAAUUGUUUCUCAAAUUCUUAUCACUGAACCAUUUCCUCCAUUCUUGGCGUUUAACGGGUUCGUGGUCUUUUCUAGCUUAAAGUUUGUAUCCUCAGUGUAUUUCCUUACACUUUCCCAUAUACUAUGGUAUUUAACAUACACCUUAACCUUACUUAAUAAAAUACUCAAUUGAAAUAUUUGACUCAUAAGCUAAUAAUGGAGUGUUUUAUAUUAAAUAUGAUUGAAAAUCAAAU